CAGAGCGCAGCUAAACUAGAAAAGCACCUCCCUUACACCGAGAAGAUAUCCGUGCAACUCGGAUCGCACUGA
rnacentral:tRNA from 1 species